GAUGAACGCUGGCGGCGUGCCUAAUACAUGCAAGUCGAGCGAACAGACGAGGAGCUUGCUCCUUUGACGUUAGCGGCGGACGGGUGAGUAACACGUAGGUAACCUACCUAUAAGACUGGGAUAACUUCGGGAAACCGGAGCUAAUACCGGAUAAUAUUUCGAACCGCAUGGUUCGAUAGUGAAAGAUGGCUUUGCUAUCACUUAUAGAUGGACCUGCGCCGUAUUAGCUAGUUGGUAAGGUAACGGCUUACCAAGGCAACGAUACGUAGCCGACCUGAGAGGGUGAUCGGCCACACUGGAACUGAGACACGGUCCAGACUCCUACGGGAGGCAGCAGUAGGGAAUCUUCCGCAAUGGGCGAAAGCCUGACGGAGCAACGCCGCGUGAGUGAUGAAGGUCUUCGGAUCGUAAAACUCUGUUAUUAGGGAAGAACAAACGUGUGAGUAACUGUGCACGUCUUGACGGUACCUAAUCAGAAAGCCACGGCUAACUACGUG
rnacentral:rRNA from 1 species